rnacentral:rRNA from 1 species
GAUGAACGCUGGCGGCGUGCUUAACACAUGCAAGUCGAACGGUGAAGCAGGAGCUUGCUCCUGUGGAUCAGUGGCGAACGGGUGAGUAACACGUGAGCAAUCUGCCCUGGACUCUGGGAUAAGCGUUGGAAACGACGUCUAAUACCGGAUACGAGGCAUGGGGGCAUCCCCAACGCCUGGAAAGAACUUUGGUCCAGGAUGAGCUCGCGGCCUAUCAGGUAGUUGGUGAGGUAACGGCUCACCAAGCCUACGACGGGUAGCCGGCCUGAGAGGGUGACCGGCCACACUGGGACUGAGACACGGCCCAGACUCCUACGGGAGGCAGCAGUGGGGAAUAUUGCACAAUGGGCGCAAGCCUGAUGCAGCAACGCCGCGUGAGGGACGACGGCCUUCGGGUUGUAAACCUCUUUUAGCAGGGAAGAAGCGAAAGUGACGGUACCUGCAGAAAAAGCACCGGCUAACUACGUGCCAGCAGCCGCGGUAACAC